rnacentral:rRNA from 1 species
CCUACGGGUGGCAGCAGUGAGGAAUAUUGGUCAAUGGACGCAAGUCUGAACCAGCCAUGCCGCGUGCAGGAAGACGGCUCUAUGAGUUGUAAACUGCUUUUGUACGAGGGUAAACGCAGAUACGCGUAUCUGUCUGAAAGUAUCGUACGAAUAAGGAUCGGCUAACUCCGCGCCAGCAGCCGCGGUAAUACGGAGGAUUCAAGCGUUAUCCGGAUUUAUUGGGUUUAAAGGGUGCGUAGGCGGUCGGUUAAGUUAGAGGUGAAAUCCCGAGGCUCAACUCCGGAAUUGCCUCGGAUACUGGUCGGCUAGAGAGUAGUUGCGGUAGGCGGAAUGUAUGGUGUAGCGGUGAAAUGCUUAGAGAUCAUACAGAACACCGAUUGCGAAGGCAGCUUACC